AGCGAGCGCGAAAAAACGAUGUCGAAGGCGAGACAAGCGAAAAAGUGGCGGGAAGGUUAAUUUAUUCGCGACAAGUGACGCCGGGUCGUUUGGAGGUUGAAGCUCGGAGGUUGUGGAAGCUUCUCUGGUCGCAGACAUAAAAUGCGGGGCCCUGAUGUCGAGUCAAGGGUACGUGAGAGUGAUACACGACUUCCACAGGCCUGCUCGUGUUCGGCCGUGAUGGCUCGGUCUCGCGGACUGCUUCACCUUGAACGAUUCGCGGAGUUUAUGGCUUACGGAGCCACGCGUCGCGUCGGCAAAAGAGCUGCGUUGUCUUGGACACGUGGGAGUAGACCGGCAAUCGCGGCGACCCGGCUUGACCGUGCCGCACAUUUGCGGUAAGAAGAAGCCGCGAGCUACGAUCCGCUGGAUCGUACGUUUUUCUGCUAGCCUAACCGCACUGUGAAAACCAUCGCAUAAGAGCCAUGAGAACGCCACGAACGAACAAGGAUGGAGAGAUGGGAAAACUAAAGUGACCGCACGGUCCACGCGGCGAAAAGGGGUGAAUUGCACACCGGAUACUCGUCGGUCGGCAAUUUGAGUUAUGAUGCCGACGCUCUAUAAUCGUUAAUUAAAGCCGGCUAUAAUCUUGUUUCA
rnacentral:misc_RNA from 1 species